rnacentral:lncRNA from 1 species
UAUGGUUAUAGUUUGUCAUAUUUCCCUGGAAAGCAGAUUAACUUAAUGUUAGUAUUUUACUAUAUUUAACUGUUUGUUUGUUCUUUUAUAUGCUAGGAAUAGUAAUCAUGCUAAAGCCCAUAUCGCUAUAGCACAGUAAAACAGCAGAAGAUGCCAAAGGAAGAUGUCUUCAAGGAAAAGAAGGGAAGGAAUGUGAUGGAGGAAACCUGUCAAUCAAGAAGGGAAUGCUUUAGGGCUGCUUUAAAGAGAAGCUGGUGCUACUGUAUUUUCAAAGGAAUGUGAGCUUCCUGCCUCAAAAUUUUGAAAUGGAAAAGGAAAACUUAUGAUGUAGGUGGGAUCCAUUUCUAGAAGUAUCCUUGUUAGAAUUGGAAACAUGCCUUACUUGCCUGCUGAAUUAUUUUGUGAAUAUAUCAAUCUACAUUUCCUGGGAUUUUCUCUAGGAAACAGAUGUACCUUUUUGCACACACCCCUUUGAAGAAGGUAGGCCUAUAUGCUAUAGGAAAAUUAAUUAUGUGAAAGAGUGUGAGAGAUUAUUUGGAUAAAAGUAGGAAGUUUAAACAUUUUACUUUCUAUAUCUUGAAUGAACUUUGCCUUAAGGUAUAUGGCCUG